ACUCUAAGGAGACUGCCGGUGGACAAACCGGAGGAAGGUGGGGAUGACGUCAAGUCAUCAUGGCCUUACGGCCUGGGCUACACACGUGCUACAAUGGUCGGUACAAAGGGUUGCCAAGCCGCGAGGUGGAGCUAAUCCCAUAAAACCGAUCGUAGUCCGGAUCGCAGUCUGCAACUCGACUGCGUGAAGUCGGAAUCGCUAGUAAUCGUGAAUCAGAAUGUCACGGUGAAUACGUUCCCGGGCCUU
rnacentral:rRNA from 1 species